rnacentral:lncRNA from 1 species
GAGAAAUUGUUCUCUGCCGCUGAGAACGAAAGGAUCAGAGUUGGGAGUGGGGUUUAUAUAGUCCAAGGACGUUUGUGCCUAAGUUUUAGAAAUGUCCGUUCUCCGCGUAGACUUCACCUGCAGUCCCAAAGCGAAUUGCUUUAAUCUGAGAACAGGUGAAUGUUCCCUUAAACUUCAACCCUCCAGGGAUCAAUGGGAACAAGUGAAGGUGGAGCUGACUGCCAAUCACAGGCUUCCAAAGACAGGAUCCCAGAGAAACUUCCUCGAGCCUUCCUGCCAUCUUUCUUCCAUCGCCCACGCCCCUUCGAAACUUUAACAGUUGCAGCUUAAAGUUGUUCCUGUUUAAUGGGAUUUCUCAUUAUGAAAUCAAAACGAGUUGAAGGUAGCGGGUUCUCGUGGUAAUUUGCUAACAUGGAACUUCCUCUGGUGCAGCGUCUGGGUUUGCAAACACAAGAUGUUUAUCACGUUCCAGUGGCUCUGACAGCUGUAAAGUUUGUCUCUAAUCCAGCCAAUUCCAUGUGCUAAGCCAUCCAGUGUCUUUUCAAAACCACAUGUCUAAGGCACUUUCUCCCCUUCCAUGAAGUCCCACUGACAAGGCCGUUCAAGGUAUUGGUAUCUCCAUCCUUUGCCUUCCAGCCUUCCAGUCUUACCACUCAUCCAACUCCAUGCUCCAACUCCAUGAUAAGCUAGACCCAACUAUGCCAUGGCAUCAUGAUAUGAUAUAGGAAGGCUGCACUUCUCCAUGGUCAGCAAAAGUAGCAGUCACAUAGUUAGAGAAGAAGUCAUGUUUUCAAAUUCAGAAUCUUCCUUGUGAUGAAAG